GAUGAACGCUGGCGGCGUGCUUAACACAUGCAAGUCGAACGAAGCACCUUAUUCUGAUUUCUUCGGAAUGAAAAAUUUGGUGACUGAGUGGCGGACGGGUGAGUAACGCGUGGGUAACCUGCCUCAUACAGGGGGAUAACAGUUAGAAAUGACUGCUAAUACCGCAUAAGACCACAGCACCGCAUGGUGCAGGGGUAAAAACUCCGGUGGCAUGAGAUGGACCCGCGUCUGAUUAGGUAGUUGGUGGGGUAACAGCCUACCAAGCCGACGAUCAGUGGCCGACCUGAGAGGGUGACCGGCCACAUUGGGACUGAGACACGGCCCAAACUCCUACGGGAGGCAGCAGUGGGGAAUAUUGCACAAUGGGGGAAACCCUGAUGCAGCGACGCCGCGUGAGCGAUGAAGUAUUUCGGUAUGUAAAGCUCUAUCAGCAGGGAAGAAAAUGACAGCACCUGACUAAGAAGCACCGGCUAAAUACGUGCCAGCCGCCGCGGUAA
rnacentral:rRNA from 1 species